AAAAUCACAGUGAGAAGACACUGUACGUCCAUAGGAAAGCAUUGAGUAAUGCUUUCCUAUGGGCGGUUUAAAUGCGCAUGCGCCUCUUGCCGCACAUGUGCAUUCGGAGCUGAGAGGCGGAGGGAUCCCCAGCGCCAAGGAAGUCCGACGCUGGAGAAAGGUAAAUGCUAAAGACAUACACACACAUUCUCACGAACAGACGCAUACACACUAGCUAAC